ACCAGCUGACGAGUCCCAAACAGGACGAAACGCGCGUCGUGGAU
rnacentral:hammerhead_ribozyme from 1 species